CGAGUCGAAUGUCGAUAUUAGUCUUAACAGAAAUCGAAAGAGCGCCCUCUAGGCGUAUGUUAGAAAAAAUAAUGUUUAUGUCGUUUAAUGUUUGGCAUUUUCUCUUGUGUUCGCUUUUACUCUGUCCACUUGAUUGUGAAAAACGAUUAUUUUUGUAAAUACUAUAUUUUGUGUGUAUAUUAAAUCAGUUUUAAGAUACAAGAUGACAACAGCUGCAAGGCCAACAUUUGAUCCGGCUAGAGGUGGUCAGGGUCGGGGUGAAAAAGAUUUAAGUGCGAUAUCAAAACAAUACAGCAGCAGAGAUUUGCCAUCGCAUACCAAAUUAAAAUAUAGAGAGCAUGGACAAGGAACGAUCGAAGAGCUUCGUAGUCGCGAUUUUCGCAAAGAAUUGGAGGAACGUGAUAG
rnacentral:misc_RNA from 1 species